rnacentral:lncRNA from 1 species
AAAAAGACAAAAAAUAAAAUAAAAUUUAAUAUCACGGGAUAAACUCAGUAGAAGGAUUGGAAGACCAAGUUCAAGCAAGCACUGAGAAAACUGAGAACAAUAAUAACAAAAAAUAGGAAACAUGAAGAUAAAUUAGGAUGAUCCAGGAGUUCCUGUAGUGGCUCAGCAGUUGGUGAACCCGACUAGCAUCCAUGAGGACACAGGUUGGAUCCCUGGCCUCACUCAGUGGGUUAAGGAUCCGGCUUUGCCAUGAGCUGUGGGGUAGGUCACAGAUACGGCUCAGAUCGUGCGCUGCUGUGGCUGUGGUGUAGGCCCUCGGCUACAGCUCCGAUUCGAUUUGACCCCUAGCCUGAGAACCUCUAUAUGCCACUGGCGUGGCCCUAAAGAGACAAAGAAUAAAUAAAUAAAAAACAGAAGAUGUUUUCAAUAAAACAGAGAACUGAAAAAAAUGGCUCUGUGUUGAACCCUUCAGCCAAACACUGAGCACAAAAAAGGGGGGGGGGAGACACCAGUGUGCGCAUGGUCCUGAAAUUGAGAAUCCUAGCGGCAAGAGCUUCAGAGGAGAGGGAUCACCUAGAAAGGACUAAAAGGCAGACUUCUCUCGAGUAGGUGCUGGAUGCUAGAAUUCGGUGGCACAGUGCGUUCAGACUUGAUUUUCAACCCAGAAUUUAUGCUUAGCCAAGCCCUCAGUGAAACACAAAGGUGGCCAAUUCCAGCAUAACUGAGGGCAUCAUCCCGGGAGGAAGACAAGGGAAGUCAUGGGGUGACCAAGUCCACACUGACGGGUGGGCCGUGAGGAGGGCUUUGCACAGGCCAUUCCUUCUGCUUGGUCUGCUGGUUAGUUUCUCCUUUCCCCCUGUGUCAGUCUGGGUUGACAGAAGUGACACAGUGACACAGAGCUUUAAAGAAGGAAUAGUGAAACUAUGAUAGAAGAGUAACCAAACGCUCCAGAUAGACAUAAAAAUGUCCAGGAAGCAUAUGAAAAGGCGCUUGGCACCACUAAUCAUUAAGGAAGUGCAAUUCAGAACUACGGUGUGGUACUUAAGGUAGUAAAGUUAAUGAAAACAAAAAACAGAGGCGUUUCCCUGGUGGCUCAGUGAGUUAAGGAUCCGGGGUUGUCACUGCUAUGGCAUGGGUUCGAUCCCUGGCCUGGGAACUUCCACACAGCAAAAAAAAAGAAAGAAAAGGGAACAGAAAUAGAGGGGUGGUAGCCAGGGGCCUGGGGAGAGGAGAGUAGUGAGCUGUUUAAUGGGCACAGGGCUUCCGUUUUGCAAGAUGGCAGGAGUUCCGUAGAUGGCUGUACAACCGUGUGACUGUCACAUCACCAAGCUGCACACUUAACGAUGGUUAAGAGGGCGAAUUUCAUGGGUGUUUUACCACAGUUACAUUUUCUCAAAAAUAAAAUGACGGCGUUCCCGUCGUGGCGCAGCAGAAAUAAAUCUGACUAGGAACCCUGAGGUUGCGGGUUCAAUCCCUGGCCUCGCUCAGUGAGUGAAGGAUCUGGCGUUGCCGUGAGCUGUGGUGUAGGUCACAGAUGUGGCUCAGAUCUGCGUUGCUGUGGCUGUGGUUAGGCCGGCAGCUACAGCUCUGAUUCGACCCCUAUCCUGGGAACCUCCAUAUGCCGCACGUGUGGACCUAAAAAAAAUAAAUAAAAUAAAACAACCAGACGGUUUUAGAAAAGUCCAGCAGAGUGCUCCCAGCCCAGAGGGAGCUAGACUGAAGGCUCGGGAAGGGAGUUUGGGGCAUGCAGUUGAGGACAGGGUUCAUGUUUUUAAACUAGAAGAGGGUGGCUGUGUAAAAAACAAAAAUAGAAUCUCUGUAUGGGAGAGAGUCCAAGAGGAACGGUUAGGGACUCUGGAAAAAGCAGCUCACAAGAAGUUAAAUGUCCUCACGCACUACCCAGCUCUGCCGCAAACAUUGACAUGGUGCUAAAGCGAGCGGCGUCACUGUUUUGACCUAAGGUCGGGGUGGGAUGGGAGAUAAGGGUCCUGAAGAGCCAAAUCCACAGCCAUCCUUAAAGACUGAAUCGUUGAUGUCUCAGAUGGAUGUCAAGGAAUAGGGAGCCCAGCAUUUUUAAAGGCACACAACUACAUAGUCUUAAGAGGGAAUGAUAAACUGUUAACCUGUUAGCUCCGAGGACAGAGCCUGGGCACUGAAGAAGGAAGAGUCUGUCUUUUGGUUGUACUGUUUAUGUUUUCCUAUGAGCAUGUACUACUCUGUAAAUAAAAACAAGGAGUUCCCUUGUGGCACAGCAGCUUACAGAUCCAGCAUUGUCACUGCGGUAGCUUGGGUCGCUCCUCUGGCAUGGGUUUGAUCCCUGGCCCAGGAACUUCCACAUGCUGCAGGCACAGCCAAAAAUAAACAUAAAAUAAAAUCAAGAUUUAAUGUUGGUUUUUUAAAAUUAUUAAUGAAAAAGUUAAUUUGGCAGAAAUUGUACACCAGGAGUUAGCGGCAGAAGAAAUCAGUGCUAGUUAGGAAGAAACUAGAUAAAACUUUUUUAAAGUUUAUGCACUUGAAUUGUGCUUUGUCAUAGAAACAUGAGUUCCGGCAGGGAAGGGUAAGAUAUCGCAUGGCUGCAUGGACUCUUUUAUUUACAGCAUUUUAUUUUACUGGCACAGUAAAACCGUAACUGUACUGCUGGGAGAAUAGAUGGUUCUAAUUAAUUUAAUUUUCAGAGUAAUAAAAUUAAGAAAUCAUUUUUAUGCCAUCUUCUGUAGAUCACCUUUUUACAAUGUAGCUAGCUCUGCUUGCCUACUUUAUUAAGUUCAAGAUCUGAAGAUAAUUUAGGGCGGUCAUUAUGCUCUAGAUUAAGAAAAGAUAACGGUAGAGGCGGGCAGCCACUGCAUUCCCUGGGGUGCAUCGUGUUCCCUUCUUCCCUAGACAUGCGGCAGCAGUGUGGUGAUUACAGCACCAACCCAGCACUCAGAGGAGAGCUGGCCUGUACCGUGCAAGACUAUUUGAAUAAGGUCCCUUAGUGUCUCUGCACCUUUUAACAUGAAAAUACUCCGAAAAGAUGUCACCUAAGACCGUGAAUAAUAAUCACCUUCCAAGCUUGGUAAAUGUUCUGACCUUUUAAAAAGUUUCUCAGCCCUGGCUGAUCGUUGGAGUCAUCAGGAAGCUUUUGAAACUGCUGAUGUCUGAGUUGUGUGCCCAGAGGUUUCACCAAAAAGGGUUGCAGCCUUGGCAUUGGAGGUUUUUAAAACUUUCCAGGUGGUUCCUCUUUUUUUUUCCCUUCCCAUGGCUGCACCCCUGGUAUAUGGAAGUUCCUUGGCCAGGGACUGAACUCGCACCACAGCAGUGACCCCAGCUCCUUCAGUGACAACAUGGGAUCCUUAACCCUCUGCCCCAUAAGACGCCUCCCCCAGGUGAUUCAGAUGAGCAGCCAAGAACCACCCUUUGAAAGGAGGAGUCUAAGUCCGUCCCACCCCCCUUCCCCGCCCCAUGUUGAUUUAACUCAUUUUUAUUACGGUGAUACUCAAAUACGGACAGACUGACACCAGGUUGAGAUUCCUUGUGCAUUUAGUAGUUUAUGUAAGUCACAUUUACAAAUUAAAAACAAACUCCAAAAUUAAUAAACAGCAGCGACGUGUGGACAGUGACAUUCUGCUGAGGCUUUAUUGUGUGUGUAAUAUUCCUUCUGCUGGUCGGUCAAGCCCUCCUUCCCACCUGUAUGCAUAUGGGCCCUCUCGGGAGGUAGAAGUCACGUGGUGAUGUAAACAGGGAGAGUUUAUUCUCGAGAAAUUAAACUGCAUGCUAGCCAGGGCUGAGGAAGGACUGCUGGAAGCUGGCCCCUCCUGGGGCUGGGGAAGGACUGCUGGUCACCGAGAGUGAGCCUCCACCCUGGGAAAGCCACAGCCGAUAGCCCGGUGCUCGGGCUCACAGGAGCCCUUGUGGUGGCCCUCCUGGUGCCAGACUGCAUUUGGUGGCCAGUGCACAGGUGUGCAGAGGAGAUAGGAGUGUAAGCAUCAUGGGCACGGGGCAUGUGGCAUCCCCAUCAGAAGGGUUAUAGCCAUGUCGCUGGGAGAGGACCACAGAGACUGGUGUGGGAGAGGAGCGAGCAGUGGGUGCCUGUAGUGGUGACAGUAUCAUGGCAAGGUGACCCUUGAUCAAGCCAGAGCUACAAGGUUGCUAAGAGACUGCCCUUUGUGGGCCCACAGCUGGGGUCCUCACCAAGAGCCCUGAGAGCCGCGUGCUUGCCCCGCCCCGAUGCACAGAGCAGCCAGAGACUGUGGGACAGUGCCUUCCUCCUGCAGAUCCUCCUAGCACCCUUCUCUGGGACACCUCCGCAUUGCAUUUGUGGGGGGGACAGCUGUUGGUUACUGCAGAGUGAGUGCUAAAGGGUGACCCAAGCUCCAGGCAGUAAACGGAUAACUGACACCACACCCUGUCCCAACCAGACAGGUCUGCAGGAUGUAAGCCAUAGCUCACGGGCUGUCUCUUCCAGCGUGGCUCUGUGCCACAUCCACUGUGCCCUUAUCGUGGCUCCCUGUGCCGUGCAGGGAUCAUUGUUUAAAAAACCAUUGGCUUGUCAAACAAAUGGAAAGUGUGUACAUAAGCAUCCCCUCCCAAGACUGAUUUGGUUGGGCUAGGGUGGGACCCAGGCAUCUGUACUUAAAAGGGUGGGGCCCAGGAACCCUCACUUAAUGGGGGUGGGACCCAGGAACCUACACUUUUGAUGGGGUGGGACCCAGGAACCUUCACUUUUGGUUGGAUGGGGCCCAGGAAUCUAUACUUAAUGGAGUUGGACCCAGGAACCUUCACUUUUGAUGGGGUGGGACCCAGGAACCUUCACUUUUGAUGGGGUGGGACCCAGGAACCUUCACUUUUGAUGGGGUGGGACCCAGGAACCUUCACUUUUGAUGGGCACUGUGAGCUGUGGUGUAGGUCACAGAUGUGGCUCAGAUCGCACGUUGCUGUGGCUCUGGUGUAGGUGAGCAGCUGUAUCUCUGAUUCAACUUGUAGCCUGGGAACUUCCAUAUGCUGUGGGUGCAGCCCUAAAAAGCAAGAAAAGAAAAAGAAAAAAAGAAAUGCUGGCUGGGCUGGACUGCAGGAACUGUGUCUUUCUGACUUUGUACCCUUGGUGCCCAGUACACUGCGUGGUAGGAGGUGGGCGUUCAGCAGAUGUGGGCCAAGUGAAUGACCCACACGUGUCCGAGCCACCUGCCCUCGUGCUUAGAGGAGCGGAGCCUGUGGUGACGCGAAUGACUGCACGGAACCCCUCGGAGGGUCCUUCUUUACACCGCGUGUGAAACUCUGACCUAAACCUUAAUGCAGCUCAUGCGUUUUCUUUUUUUGAUCCAACAUGGACAUUAUACUAAUUCCACUUUCCUCUAAUUUUAAUAGGGAGAAAGAACAAGAAACACAAAAAGAGGAACGUUUGAUGGAAGAAAAG